rnacentral:rRNA from 1 species
GUGGAUUAGAUACCCUGGUAGUCUACGCCGUAAACGAUGGAUGCUAGCUGUGGGGGGUAUCGACCCCUUCCGUAGCGAAGCUAACGCGUUAAGCAUCCCACCUGUGUAGUACGAUCGCAAGAUUAAAACAUAAAGGAAUUGACGGGGACCCGCACAAGCGGUGGAGCGUGAUCUUUAAUUCGAUGCUAAACGAUAAACCUUACCAAGGCUUGACAUCCAGGGAAGGCCUCCGAAAGGAGUCUGUGCCUUCGGGAACCCUGUGACAGGUGAUGCACGGCCGUCGACAACU